rnacentral:rRNA from 1 species
CAGUCGCCGCGGGAAUACGUAGGGUCCGAGCGUUGUCCGGAAUUAUUGGGCGUAAAGGGCUCGUAGGCGGUUUGUUGCGUCGGGAGUGAAAACCCAGGGCUUAACUUUGGGCUUGCUUUCGAUACGGGCAGACUUGAGGCAUUGAGGGGAGAACGGAAUUCCUGGUGUAGCGGUGAAAUGCGCAGAUAUCAGGAGGAACACCGGUGGCGAAGGCGGUUCUCUGGCAAUGUUCUGACGCUGAGGAGCGAAAGUGUGGGGAGCGAACAGGAUUAGAUACCCCAGUAGUCCCUGUCUCUUAUAC